rnacentral:rRNA from 1 species
AUUGAACGCUGGCGGAAUGCUUUACACAUGCAAGUCGAACGGCAGCACGGACUUCGGUCUGGUGGCGAGUGGCGAACGGGUGAGUAAUGUAUCGGAACGUGCCCAGUCGUGGGGGAUAACGUAGUGAAAAUUACGCUAAUACCGCAUACGAUCUAUGGAUGAAAGCGGGGGAUCGCAAGACCUCGCGCGAUUGGAGCGGCCGAUAUCAGAUUAGGUAGUUGGUGGGGGAAAGGCCCACCAAGCCAACGAUCUGUAGCUGGUCUGAUCGGACGAACAGCCACACUGGAACUGAUACACGGUCCAGACUCCUACGGGAGGCAGCAGUGGGGAAUUUUGGACAAUGGGCGAAAGCCUGAUCCAGCCAUUCCGCGUGCAGGAUGAAGGCCCUCGGGUUGUAAACUGCUUUUGUACAGAACGAAAAGGUUUCUACUAAUACUAGGAGCUCAUGACGGUACUGUAAGAAUAAGCACCGGCUAACUACGUGCCAGCCGCCGCGGUAA